GCGGAGUUGGCAGAAUAAUGUGAAUAAUUUAGGUUUAUUUUAUGAGAUGGGUUAUCUUACUUUGUA
rnacentral:tRNA from 1 species